rnacentral:rRNA from 1 species
GAUGAACGCUGGCGGCGUGCCUAAUACAUGCAAGUCGAGCGAACAGACGAGGAGCUUGCUCCUCUGACGUUAGCGGCGGACGGGUGAGUAACACGUGGAUAACCUACCUAUAAGACUGGGAUAACUUCGGGAAACCGGAGCUAAUACCGGAUAAUAUAUUGAACCGCAUGGUUCAAUAGUGAAAGACGGUUUUGCUGUCACUUAUAGAUGGAUCCGCGCCGCAUUAGCUAGUUGGUAAGGUAACGGCUUACCAAGGCGACGAUGCGUAGCCGACCUGAGAGGGUGAUCGGCCACACUGGAACUGAGACACGGUUCAGACUCCUACGGGAGGCAGCAGUAGGGAAUCUUCCGCAAUGGGCGAAAGCCUGACGGAGCAACGCCGCGUGAGUGAUGAAGGUCUUCGGAUCGUAAAACUCUGUUAUUAGGGAAGAACAAAUGUGUAAGUAACUAUGCACGUCUUGACGGUACCUAAUCAGAAAGCCACGGCUAACUACGUG